CCUACGGGAGGCAGCAGUGAGGAAUAUUGGUCAAUGGCCGAGAGGCUGAACCAGCCAAGUCGCGUGAGGGAAGAAUGUCCUAUGGAUUGUAAACCUCUUUUGUCAGGGAGCAAAGUCACCCACGUGUGGGUGUUGGAGUGUACCCGAAGAAAAAGCAUCGGCUAACUCCGUGCCAGCAGCCGCGGUAAUACGGAGGAUGCGAGCGUUAUCCGGAUUUAUUGGGUUUAAGGGGUGCGUAGGCGGGUUAUCAAGUCAGCGGUAAAAUCGUGGAGCUCAACUCAAUCCAGCCGUUGAAACUGAUGAUCUUGAGUGGGCGAGAGGUAUGCGGAAUGCGUGGUGUAGCGGUGAAAUGCAUAGAUAUCACGCAGAACUGCGAUUGCGAAGGCAGCAUACCAGCGCCCGACUGACGCUGAAGCACGAAAGCGUGGGUAUCAAACAGGAUUAGAUACCCCGGUAGUC
rnacentral:rRNA from 1 species